AAUUACAUUAAAACACGCGAGGCCCAGCUCUCCCCCUUGUUAUGUCGUUGUUUCCCUCACAUCCUUCAUAUUCCUUCAUCAUUUUCAUUUCUCCCUCUCACCAUGAAAAUAAUUAGGGUUUCUCUCACACGGUUUCUCUUUCUCCAUCUUCCCUUCUCUUGUGCACACCAACGCUAAUUGCUGCUACCAAAGCUUCGAUUCAAGUGUUUCUUACAUCCGAAUUUCGCCCCGUUCGAAACUAAAACAUGUGAGUAGCUCGAAUAUGUGUUUUUUUCGAUUUUUGAUUAAUUUGGUUCGAAAACUUGAACCCUACGAAUAGAAUUAGGGGCUCACCACCAUCCACCGCCACUGGGUUCCACCUUCCCUUGACGACCACCAGCUACCGCCAAGAAACCCCUCAAGUUGCGUCCUCUAGAAUUUGAACAUCUAAUGAAUUACUAGUUUUUCGUUCGAAUUGUCGGAAUCAAAAUCAACUGCAAGUGAGAUCUACUUCAAAUUCAAUUGACAAACAAGAUUUGAGUAUUCCAUGAUGAUGAAGAGGUGUUACCGUGUUUGAGAGCAAACUCUUCAAAAGAAGGGGAGGAUGAUGGAGGACCAUCUCCAACCAAGGAUCUGAAACUAAUUUCCAUGGCGGCCUUGACUUUGCGUGAGGUUUGAAAUAUUUUAAAUCCUUUUAUGUUCAUUGUUAACGAGUCCAUAUAAGCUUUGUUACUUAUUGUGUUUCAUUUCCUUAGUUUCUUUUUCAUUAAAAUGUUAAGGUGUGAGAGUCAUAUUGUGUUUAGGAGUUCUUCUUUCCUUUGUUAUUUAUUUCGGUUGUUGUUGUUGUUUUGUUUUUUAAGUCAUUGAGUCAUGUAAUAACCAUGAAGAACCAAUUAAGUGUAGCCAAGUAGUUGUUGAACUCAUGUCCAAGUAUGCAUCAAGCAAAGAGGAGAUGUGCCAUGAAAAUAGGAGCUAACUCCUACCUUCGUGGCGCCUUAACUAAACUCAUGUGCAGCAAGUAAGGAGUGGUUCUUGGUGCCUAUUUUCAAGGAGCAUGAGUUUGAAUUGGGAUGUACACCAUCAAGAGGUUGAGAAGCAUAUUCUCCACCCUAAGACAUCCAUAUAUUCAUGGAAGAAGUACAACUAGGAGUGGAGUAAAUUGGAGCAUAAACCAACGACUAAUUAGCUUUUUGUUGGACAUGUUCUCUACAAAUUCUAUCAUGUACUUAGUGGAUGUUAUUUUUACCUUUUAUUUUUGCAUUUUCUUUUGUUUAGCAAAUCAGAUUAUUCGACAUUAAGACUUGUAUAAAUACCAAUGAGUGAAAUGAGAAUGACAAUCAAGUUUUAUGACCAAUAAAUACAAAUGUGUAUUAAACCUUUGUUUU